CCUACGGGGUGCUGCAGUGGGGAAUAUUGGACAAUGGGCGAAAGCCUGAUCCAGCCAUGCCGCGUGUGUGAAGAAGGCCUUCGGGUUGUAAAGCACUUUCAGUGGGGAAGAAAGCCUUGGGGCUAAUACCCUCGAGGAAGGACAUCACCCACAGAAGAAGCACCGGCUAACUCCGUGCCAGCAGCCGCGGUAAUACGGAGGGUGCGAGCGUUAAUCGGAAUUACUGGGCGUAAAGCGCGCGUAGGCGGUCUGAUAAGCCGGUUGUGAAAGCCCCGGGCUCAACCUGGGAACGGCAUCCGGAACUGUCAAGCUAGAGUGCAGGAGAGGAAGGUAGAAUUCCCGGUGUAGCGGUGAAAUGCGUAGAGAUCGGGAGGAAUACCAGUGGCGAAGGCGGCCUUCUGGACUGACACUGACGCUGAGGUGCGAAAGCGUGGGUAGCAAACAGGAUUAGAUACCCCUAGUAGUC
rnacentral:rRNA from 1 species